CGCGGCCUAUCAGCUUGUUGGUGAGGUAACGGCUCACCAAGGCAUCGACGGGUAGCUGGUCUGAGAGGAUGAUCAGCCACACUGGGACUGAGACACGGCCCAGACUCCUACGGGAGGCAGCAGUGGGGAAUAUUGCACAAUGGGCGCAAGCCUGAUGCAGCAACGCCGCGUGCGGGAUGAAGGCCCUAGGGUUGUAAACCGCUUUCAGCAGGGAAGAAAAUGACGGUACCUGCAGAAGAAGGUGCGGCCAACUACGUGCCAGCAGCCGCGGUGACACGUAGGCACCAAGCGUUGUCCGGAUUUAUUGGGCGUAAAGAGCUCGUAGGCGGUUCAGUAAGUCGGGUGUGAAAACUCUGGGCUCAACCCAGAGACGCCACCCGAUACUGCUGUGACUUGAGUACGGUAGGGGAGCGGGGAAUUCCUGGUGUAGCGGUGAAAUGCGCAGAUAUCAGGAGGAACACCAGUGGCGAAGGCGCCGCUCUGGGCCGUAACUGACGCUGAGGAGCGAAAGCAUGGGUAGCGAACAGGAUUAGAUACCCUGGUAGUCCAUGCCGUAAACGGUGGGCGCUAGGUGUAGGGGGCUUCCACGUCUUCUGUGCCGUAGCUAACGCAUUAAGCGCCCCGCCUGGGGAGUACGG
rnacentral:rRNA from 1 species